rnacentral:rRNA from 1 species
GACGAACGCUGGCGGCGUGCUUAACACAUGCAAGUCGAACGGAAAGGCCCCUUUGGGGGUACUCGAGUGGCGAACGGGUGAGUAACACGUGAGUAACCUGCCCUUGACUUCGGGAUAACUUCAGGAAACUGGGGCUAAUACCGGAUAGGAAUCCUUGCUGCAUGGUGGGGGUUGGAAAGCUUCGGCGGUUUUGGAUGGACUCGCGGCUUAUCAGCUUGUUGGUGGGGUAGUGGCUUACCAAGGCUUUGACGGGUAGCCGGCCUGAGAGGGCGACCGGCCACAUUGGGACGGAGAAACGGCCCAGACGCCUACGGGAGGCAGCAGUGGGGAAUAUUGCACAAUGGGCGGAAGCCUGAUGCAGCAACGCCGGGUGCGGGAUGACGGCCUUCGGGUGGUAAACCGCUUUCAGCAGGGGCGAAGCUUGUGGUGACGGUACCUGCAGAAGAAGCACCGGCUAACUACG